UGGAUCCAGACUUUGAUUAUGGCUCAGGAUGAACGCUAGCUACAGGCUUAACACAUGCAAGUCGAGGGGAAACGACAUCGAAAGCUUGCUUUUGAUGGGCGUCGACCGGCGCACGGGUGAGUAACGCGUAUCCAACCUGCCCACCACUUGGGGAUAACCUUGCGAAAGUAAGACUAAUACCCAAUGAUAUCUCUAGAAGACAUCUGAAAGAGAUUAAAGAUUUAUCGGUGAUGGAUGGGGAUGCGUCUGAUUAGCUUGUUGGCGGGGUAACGGCCCACCAAGGCAACGAUCAGUAGGGGUUCUGAGAGGAAGGUCCCCCACAUUGGAACUGAGACACGGUCCAAACUCCUACGGGAGGCAGCAGUGAGGAAUAUUGGUCAAUGGACGAGAGUCUGAACCAGCCAAGUAGCGUGCAGGAUGACGGCCCUAUGGGUUGUAAACUGCUUUUAUAAGGGAAUAGAGUGAGUCUCGUGAGACUUUUUGCAUGUACCUUAUGAAUAAGGACCGGCUAAUUCCGUGCCAGCAGCCGCGGUAAUACGGAAGGUCCGGGCGUUAUCCGGAUUUAUUGGGUUUAAAGGGAGCGUAGGCCGGAGAUUAAGCGUGUUGUGAAAUGUAGACGCUCAACGUCUGCACUGCAGCGCGAACUGGUUUCCUUGAGUACGCACAAAGUGGGCGGAAUUCGUGGUGUAGCGGUGAAAUGCUUAGAUAUCACGAAGAUCUCCGAUUGCGAAGGCAGCUCACUGGAGCGCAACUGACGCUGAAGCUCGAAAGUGCGGGUAUCGAACAGGAUUAGAUACCCUGGUAGUCCGCACGGUAAACGAUGGAUGCCCGCUGUUGGUCUGAAUAGGUCAGCGGCCAAGCGAAAGCAUUAAGCAUCCCACCUGGGGAGUACGCCGGCAACGGUGCAACUCAAAGGAAUUGACGGA
rnacentral:rRNA from 1 species